rnacentral:rRNA from 1 species
AUUGAACGCUGGCGGCAGGCCUCACACAUGCAAGUCGAACGAGUGGCGGACGGGUGAGUAAUGUCUGGGAAACUGCCUGAUGGAGGGGGAUAACUACUGGAAACGGUAGCUAAUACCGCAUACCAUCAGAUGUGCCCAGAUGGGAUUAGCUUGUUGGUGGGGUAACGGCUCACCAAGGCGACGAUCCCUACCUGUUCUGAGAGGAUGACCAGCCCCACGGGAACUGAUACACGGUCCAGACGCCUACGUGAGGCAGCAGUGUGGAAUAUUGCACAAUGGGCGCAAGCCUGAUGCAGUCAUGCCGCGUGUAUGAAGAAGGCCUUCGGGUUGUAAAGUACUUUCAGCGGGGAGGCGUUACCCGCAGAAGAAGCACCGGCUAACUCCGUGCCAGCAGCCGCGGUAAUUC